ACAGUAAACUUACAGGAGGAACGUAACGCUGACGUUUUUGUUGUAUGCGCAGCGCACUUGAGAAUUGUCAUUGUUUUUGUUGCCGCACCGUUCUAGUAAUUCAUUUUCGCGCUCGCUCUCACUUGUUGUAGGUUUCGCUAGCGCUUACAGACUUUUCCCCAAUUGUGUCCGUUUGUUCCGUUCGCGUUCGUUCAUUGAUUUCCUAAUUAAGUUUAUAAUUAAAAUUAAUUGAAAAAUUACCCACAUAUGCAUAUACACAAAAGUACGUAAUAUAUAUAGAUGUUUAUAUGAAAAUGUAGAGUGGCGCGCGUGUUGUAACAUCGAAAAUUGAGUGUCUGUGUCUAUUAAAAUUGAAUGAAAGCACGUUAAAAAUUUAAACAUGAAAUUGUGCCAAAAUCAUGAACCACAGCCUCAGCCAAAGAGGUGGUCCCGUAAAGUACAACGGUGUGGCAACUCUAAGCAAAUGAACUGUUUUACCUGCACACACACACACACAUACACAAGCGCGCAUUCAACACACAACGGAUAAUUUAGUGGAAUUUUCGAAAAUAGCAAACGAAAGGCAACCAUAAUCCUCAAGAGCAGCCUCAGCCCCAGUCGCAGCCUCAGCUACAACAACAACACAGGCAUAAUAAUCAAAGAUUAAAUCAGGUUUAUAUGGAAGGGUUAAAAAGAGCAAAAGCAGCCUGUCACAGGAAGAAAUACACGUUUCCUAGUCGCUGAGCCACAGCUACAACAACAACGAACAACUGAUUUUGAUUACAACUACAAGGAGCGCGCGCUACACAGACACACAUACUCAUAAACACACACCCAUACUCAGACGUGACUUGCGCUCCCUGAAAGCGAGAGCGAGAGAGAGUGAGCGUUAGUGAUGGAGAGAGAGCAAACACAGAUUAACUAGCGCGCUCAGUUUUCCGCUCAGUUUUUCGGCUCAGUUCUCAUUCGAGUGCGGUACGGUUACGUCGCGUUGCUUUACAAAGCAGCGGUGAAAAUACAACACAAGAUUUUAUUUUCCGUUUUCCGCUAGGCGACGGCAACGACACAACGAAACGUAUGGGCGGCAUUUGUUUUGAAAGCAAUGUAAGAGGAAAACGAAAUAUAAACUAACGUCGCGACCGCGCCUCGCUAAUAACAUUUAUUUGUGUUUGUGAACCUGUGUGAACGAAAAAGAAGCAAGCUAAGUCAAGUGAAAAUAGUGCAAAACGAAAACGAAAAUAAAACAAAAAAAUUUGUAGUAAUAAUAAUAAUAAUAAUAAUCAUAAGAUAGCCAAAAGACAGGCCCAGACCAAACCGCAGAGCAGAGACCAGUUUCAAAUCGCCGCCUAUUUGUGCUGCCGUCGCCGUCGGCAGAAGCAGUGCAUGUGCUUGUAUGUGUGUGAAAGAGCCAGCGAUAGUUUUGAGUGCGGAGAAGGGGAAAUGGCAGUGGCAGGCAAUUGAACGAACACACACACACAUGUGCACAUGCUAGCCAAGACAGUGCUACAACAACAACAACACUAACAAGAGAAACAAGCGACCACAUACGGUGAAAAGACCGCGUCGCCGUCUCAAGGAGCGAAAGGCAGUGUGAGAGAGAAAGAGAGGAAGAGGCAGCAACGGAGCGAGAGCUAUAAGAAUAAUAAAUUACACUUUGCUUUUGCUAUAAUAAGAAGAAAAA